CUCCAAUGGGAGCCAGGGAACCAUCGGUAGCGGGUGGAGGCCGGUAACCCUGCUCUCGCUACGGCGGGCCAGAGGGACGAGCCCAGAGUAUUUACAAGAUCCGGACGCUGGUCCUGGUAACGCUUCGCGUGCGGUAGCGACGGCGCUGUCCGGCUGGGCUGUUGGGUUAGCGGGUUGCGGACGAUAGUGCUGGUAGCUAAGCGAGGACGAGUGCUCCUGCGUGCCCCAGACGGCAACCGAGUGAGUACUCUGCGGAGCCCACGGUCAGUGCCCCCCUUCCGCGGCCCCAGUUAUCGUAUCUGUGUGUUUGUCUUUCUCUGUCUGCCUCCGUCUCCAUUUUUCUGUCUGUCUCGGUCUCUGAAACAGCGCGGACCUAGGAGGUUGACUCCUGACCCGAUCACUUAAAACUAGCC
rnacentral:lncRNA from 1 species